rnacentral:rRNA from 1 species
ACGGAGGUUGCAAGCGUUGUCCGGAAUUACUAGGCGUAAAGGGCAGGUAGGCGGAUCUAUAAGUUUGAUGUUAAAGGCAGUGGCUCACCCAUUGUACGGCAUUAGAUACUGUAGAUCUGGAAUACGGUUGGGGAAGACAGAAUUCCUGGUGUAGCGGUGAAAUGCGUAGAGAUCAGGAGGAAUACCAAUGGCGAAGGCGACCUACUGAGCCGUUAUUGACGCUAAGCUGCGAAGGUGUGGGUAUCAAACAG